UUGCACCGGGUGGAUGAGUGGCGAACGGGUGAGUAACACGUGAGUAACCUGCCCCUGACUUCGGGAUAAGCCCGGGAAACUGGGUCUAAUACCGGAUACGACCGCCGGACGCAUGUCUGGUGGUGGAAAGUUUUUUCGGUUGGGGAUGGGCUCGCGGCCUAUCAGUUUGUUGGUGAGGUAAUGGCUCACCAAGACGACGACGGGUAGCCGGCCUGAGAGGGCGACCGGCCACACUGGGACUGAGACACGGCCCAGACUCCUACGGGAGGCAGCAGUGGGGAAUAUUGCACAAUGGGGGAAACCCUGAUGCAGCGACGCAGCGUGCGGGAUGACGGCCUUCGGGUUGUAAACCGCUUUCAGCAGGGAAGAAGCGCAAGUGACGGUACCUGCAGAAGAAGUACCGGCUAACUACGUGCCAGCAGCCGCGGUAAUACGUAGGGUACGAGCGUUGUCCGGAAUUAUUGGGCGUAAAGAGCUCGUAGGUGGUUGGUCACGUCUGCUGUGGAAACGCAACGCUUAACGUUGCGCGUGCAGUGGGUACGGGCUGACUAGAGUGCAGUAGGGGAGUCUGGAAUUCCUGGUGUAGCGGUGAAAUGCGCAGAUAUCAGGAGGAACACCGGUGGCGAAGGCGGGACUCUGGGCUGUAACUGACACUGAGGAGCGAAAGCAUGGGGAGCGAACAGGAUUAGAUACCCUGGUAGUCCAUGCCGUAAACGUUGGGCACUAGGUG
rnacentral:rRNA from 1 species